GACAGAGGGGGCAAGCGUUGCUCGGAAUUACUGGGCGUAAAGGGCGCGUAGGCGGGGCGGCAAGUCGGUCGUGAAAGCCUCCGGCUCAACCGGGGAAGGUCGAUCGAUACUGCCGUUCUUGAGGGUAAGAGAGGAGACUGGAAUUCCCGGUGUAGCGGUGAAAUGUGUAGAGAUCGGGAGGAACACCGGUGGCGAAGGCGGGUCUCUGGCUUAUCUCUGACGCUGAGGCGCGAAAGCGUGGGGGAGC
rnacentral:rRNA from 1 species